rnacentral:rRNA from 1 species
CAGUCGAACGGAGCACCCCUGAAGGAGUUUUCGGACAACGGAAGGGAAUGCUUAGUGGCGGACUGGUGAGUAACGCGUGAGGAACCUGCCUUCCAGAGGGGGACAACAGUUGGAAACGACUGCUAAUACCGCAUGAAACAUUUGAACCGCAUGGUUUGAAUGUCAAAGAUUUAUCGCUGGAAGAUGGCCUCGCGUCUGAUUAGCUAGUGGGCGGGGUAACGGCCCACCUAGGCGACGAUCAGUAGCCGGACUGAGAGGUUGACCGGCCACAUUGGGACUGAGAUACGGCCCAGACUCCUACGGGAGGCAGCAGUGGGGAAUAUUGGGCAAUGGGCGCAAGCCUGACCCAGCAACGCCGCGUGAAGGAAGAAGGCUUUCGGGUUGUAAACUUCUUUUAAGAGGGAAGAGAAGAAGACGGUACCUCUUGAAUAAGCCACGGCUAACUACGUGCCAGCAGCCGCGGUAAUACGUAGGUGGCAAGCGUUGUCCGGAUUUACUGGGUGUAAAGGGCGUGCAGCCGGGAAGACAAGUCAGAUGUGAAAUCCCGCGGCUCAACCGCGGAACUGCAUUUGAAACUGUUUUUCUUGAGUACCGGAGAGGUCAUCGGAAUUCCUUGUGUAGCGGUGAAAUGCGUAGAUAUAAGGAAGAACACCAGUGGCGAAGGCGGAUGACUGGACGGCAACUGACGGUGAGGCGCGAAAGCGUGGGAGCAAACAGGAUUAGAUACCCUGGUAGUCCACGCUGUAAACGAUGGAUACUAGGUGUGCGGGGACUGACCCCCUGCGUGCCGCAGUUAACACAAUAAAUAUCCCA